CAGUCGAACGAGGGUCCUUCGGGACUCGAGUGGCGAACGGGUGAGUAACACGUAGGGAACCUGCCCGUGCGACCGGGAGAACUUUCGGAAACGGAAGCUGAUACCGGAUAGGGACAGAGACGGCAUCGACUCUGUGUUAAAGGAGCUGAAAGGCUCCGCGCACGGAUGGACCUGCGGUGCAUUAGCUGGUUGGUGAGGUAACGGCCCACCAAGGCGACGAUGCAUAGCCGGCCUGAGAGGGCGGACGGCCACACUGGGACUGAGACACGGCCCAGACUCAUACGGGAGGCAGAGUAGGGAAUUUUCGUCAAUGGGCGCAAGCCUGAACGAGCAAUGCCGCGUGAACGAGGAAGGUCUUCGGAUCGUAAAGUUCUGUUGAAGGGGAAAAAGAGCGGAGAGAGGAAAUGGUCUCCGAUUGAUAUUACCCUUCGAGGAAGUCACGGCUAACUACGUGCCAGCAGCCGCGGUAAUACGUAGGUGGCGAGCGUUAUCCGGAAUGAUUGGGCGUAAAGGGUGCGUAGGCGGCCUGCUAAGUCUGGAGUGAAAGGUACCGGCUCAACCGGUACAGGCUCUGGAAACUGGCGGGCUAGAGAGCAGGAGAGGGCGGUGGAACUCCAUGUGUAGCGGUAAAAUGCGUAGAUAUAUGGAAGAACACCAGUGGCGAAGGCGGCCGCCUGGCCUGUUACUGACGCUGAGGCACGAAAGCGUGGGGAGCAAAUAGGAUUAGAUACCCUAGUAGUCCACGCCGUAAACGAUGAGGACCAAGUGUUGGGGAAGACCCAGUGCUGCAGUUAACGCAGUGAGUCCUCCGCCUGGGGAGUAUGCACGCAAGUG
rnacentral:rRNA from 1 species